GUACUCAUUUGACAGCACAUAUACUAAAAAUUGAAUGAUACAGAGAUUAGCACGAGCCCCUGUGCAAGGAUGACAUGCAAAUUCUGAAGCAUUCCAUAUUUUU
rnacentral:snRNA from 1 species